CCCCAACGUGCCUCCCCCAAUGUUGUUGAGUGGCUGUUUUCCUCCACGUCCACUUCAAUAGGGUAGAUUUGAAAUAAGACUCCGGUAUGUAUAGGUAGAAAUAAUAACAGCAACUUUAUUAUAAAAGGGUGAACCAUCACCACCAGUAUAAAAAUUUGAGGAAUAAAGGUCCUACACGUUUCGUUCCUGUAGUGGAACUUCCUCAGGGACCAAAUCAAAGUAAUAUUGCAACAGUAAAAACACAUAUAACAAAAUCCUUUUUGAGUCUCUAUAAAU